GAGUGGCGAACGGGUGAGUAAUACAUAAGUAACCUGCCCUAGACAGGGGGAUAACUGCUGGAAACGGCAGCUAAGACCGCAUAGGUAUGGACACUGCAUGGUGACCAUAUUAAAAGUGCCAAGGCACUGGUAGAGGAUGGACUUAUGGCGCAUUAGCUGGUUGGUGAGGUAACGGCUCACCAAGGCGACGAUGCGUAGCCGACCUGAGAGGGUGACCGGCCACACUGGGACUGAGACACGGCCCAGACUCC
rnacentral:rRNA from 1 species